rnacentral:lncRNA from 1 species
CUCCCAGCCUCCCGGCUCGGCGACACCUAUGCCUUAAAUCGCGAGUGAGACCACGCCGGGGAAAAAGUUUCAUAAGGUGGAAUAGAAAAGGCACCAGGAAACUUGGGACUGAGCAUGCGCCCUGCAACAUAACGGUGUCAACAAGCUCGCUACCUGUCCGACCGGUUCCGGCGGCCGGGGCUGCCUGUUCCAGCCCUUCCUUAGGCAUGAAUGUUUGCAAAAGAAUUUAAAGUCUGUUCUUCCCCCUCCUCUUUUUAAGAAAGGAAGAACAUUUUU